rnacentral:rRNA from 1 species
CAGAGGGUGGCGAGCGUUGUCCGGAAUCACUGGGGCGUAAAGGGCGGCGUAGGCGGCUUUUCAAGCGUGCGGUGAAAGCUCGGGGCUUAACUCCGAGUCUGCCGUGCGAACUGGGAGGCUUGAGUCUGGUAGAGGUCGAUGGAAUUCCGGGUGUAGCGGUGGAAUGCGUAGAGAUCCGGAAGAACACCGGUGGCGAAGGCGGUCGACUGGGCCAGUACUGACGCUGAGGCGCGACAGCGUGGGGAGCAAACAGGAUUAGAUACCCUGGUAGUCCACGCCGUAAACGAUGGGCACUAGAUCCUUGGGGGAGCGACCCCUUGAGGGUCGGCGCUAACGCAUUAAGUGCCCCGCCUGGGGAGUACGGCCGCAAGGCUG